AGUGUUAUGUCUGAUUUAAGUAAUAAACUGUAAAUUUAUUUAAAAGAUAUUUUUCUUUAAUACUA
rnacentral:tRNA from 1 species